rnacentral:rRNA from 1 species
GAUGAACGCUGGCGGCGUGCCUAAUACAUGCAAGUCGAGCGAACAGACGAGGAGCUUGCUCCUCUGACGUUAGCGGCGGACGGGUGAGUAACACGUGGAUAACCUACCUAUAAGACUGGGAUAACUUCGGGAAACCGGAGCUAAUACCGGAUAAUAUAUUGAACCGCAUGGUUCAAUAGUGAAAGACGGUUUUGCUGUCACUUAUCGAUGGAUCCGCGCCGCAUUAGCUAGUUGGUAAGGUAACGGCUUACCAAGGCAACGAUGCGUAGCCGACCUGAGAGAGGGAUCGGCCACACUGGAACUGAGACACGGUCCAGACGCCUACGGGAGGCAGCAGUAGGGAAUCUUCCGCAAUGGGCGAAAGCCUGACGGAGCAACGCCGCGUGAGUGAUGAAGGUCUUCGGAUCGUAAAACUCUGUUAUUAGGGAAGAACAAAUGUGUAAGUAACUAUGCACGUCUUGACGGUACCUAAUCAGAAAGCCACGGCUAACUACGUG